rnacentral:rRNA from 1 species
UACGGAGGUGGCAAGCGUUGCUCGGAAUCACUGGGCGUAAAGGGCGCGUAGGCGGGGAGGUAAGUCGGGUGUGAAAUCCCUCGGCCCAACCGAGGAACUGCGCCCGAGACUGCUUCUCUUGAGUCCCGGAGAGGAAGGUGGAAUCCCGGUGUAGCGGUGAAAUGUGUAGAGAUCGGGAGGAACACCGGUGGCGAAGGCGGCCUCUGGACGGUGACUGACGCUGAGGCGCGAAAGCGUGGGGAGCAAACGGG